rnacentral:misc_RNA from 1 species
UCAAGUGAGGAACAAGCCUAGAAACAAGAUAGUCAUUACAACUUGAGAAUGCUCUAGCACUAAACACAUUCUAAUAAUACAACAAAUUAGUCACAACUGAAUCCACUGUAAUUUUUGUAAUCCUCAUGAAAAUUUAGUCAAAAGUCACACCAAUCAGCCACACAGAGACAUCAGGCAAGGAAAACAGCUAUCCAGUCAAAACCAUGGAUACUCGAAGUACAGAAUAAAAUGAAAAAUCAACAACCAUGAAGAGAAGAAUAGUGUUGGAAAAGAAUUGGUUGUCAAAAUAUUGUGGCUCCCAAUUGUGUUGAUGUGCUGGUGUGUGCACAUGCUCACACAAAAGCAAAAACCAUAAUCUUAUUUCUAACUUAAAUGUCUUUGACUUUACUCCAUUUAACCCAUAGACUAACACUA